GUACCCGCUGAACUUAAGCAUAUCAAUAAGCGGAGGAAAAGAAAAUAACAAUGAUUACCCUAAUAACGGCGAGUGAAGCGGUAAAAGCUCAAAUUUGAAAUCUCUAAAGUUUUUACUUUAGCGAAUUGUAGUUUAAAGAACCAUUUUCUUGGAUUUACUGAGUAUAAGUCCUUUGGAACGAGGCAUCGUAGAGGGUGACAAUCCCGUUUAUGAUUCAGUUUUUUAAAUUCAUUUGUGAUAUGGUUUCUAAGAGUCGGGUUGUUUGGGAAUGCAGCCCUAAAUGGGAGGUAAAUACCUUCUAAAGCUAAAUAUUGACGAGAGACCGAUAGCGAACAAGUACCGUGAGGGAAAGAUGAAAAGAACUUUGAAAAGAGAGUUAAAUAGUACGUGAAAUUGUCAAUAGUGAACGGUUUGGAACUAUUGUAUGUAAAUUUCUAAUCAAUUACUCUUAGAGUAGUGCACUUAGAUUUUUUUACAGGUCAACAUCAGUUUGAUUUGAAGUAAAAAGCUUUCAAGUUUACAUUCUCUUUUGAGUGAAUUCUUAUUGUUAUACUUUGGAUUAGACUGAGGAAUAUAGUAUGGAUGGUGAACUAUUCGCCUUUUGAAGAUGGUUAAUAAACAAUUUAUUGAUUAUUUUGCAUUCUAAUUAAGCUCGUUUAGUAAGCCCCUGUUACUUUGGAUGUUGACGAAAUGGUUUUAAGCCACCCGUCUUGAAACACGGACCAAGGAGUCUAACAUAUCCGCGAGUAUUUGGGUGUCAAACCCAUAUGCGUAAUGAAAGUGAAUAAGAUGGGAUCCUUUUUCAUUAAAGGUGCACCAUCGACCGGUCUGGAUUUUUUUGAUAGAUCUGAGUUAGAGCGUACAUGUUAGGACCCGAAAGAUGGUGAACUAAGCCUGAAUAGGGUGAAGUCAGAGGAAACUCUGAUGGAAGCUCGUAGCGGUUCUGACGUGCAAAUCGAUCGUCGAAUUUGGGUUUAGGGGCGAAAGACUAAUCGAACCAUCUAGUAGCUGGUUCCCUCCGAAGUUUCCCUCAGGAU
rnacentral:rRNA from 1 species